rnacentral:rRNA from 1 species
UGGGGAAUUUUGGACAAUGGGGGAAACCCUGAUCCAGCCAUCCCGCGUGUGCGAUGAAGGCCUUCGGGUUGUAAAGCACUUUUGGCAGGAAAGAAACGUCGCGGGUUAAUACCCCGCGAAACUGACGGUACCUGCAGAAUAAGCACCGGCUAACUACGUGCCAGCAGCCGCGGUAAUACGUAGGGUGCAAGCGUUAAUCGGAAUUACUGGGCGUAAAGCGUGCGCAGGCGGUUCGGAAAGAAAGAUGUGAAAUCCCAGAGCUUAACUUUGGAACUGCAUUUUUAACUACCGGGCUAGAGUGUGUCAGAGGGAGGUGGAAUUCCGCGUGUAGCAGUGAAAUGCGUAGAUAUGCGGAGGAACACCGAUGGCGAAGGCAGCCUCCUGGGAUAACACUGACGCUCAUGCACGAAAGCGUGGGGAGCAAACAGGAUUAGAUACCCUGGUAGUCCACGCCCUAAACGAUGUCAACUAGCUGUUGGGGCCUUCGGGCCUUGGUAGCGCAGCUAACGCGUGAAGUUGACCGCCUGGGGAGUACGGUCGCAAGAUUAAAACUCAAAGGAAU